rnacentral:lncRNA from 1 species
AGAAACAGAAUACCUAGAAAAGAAGCAGGGAAAGAGACGAAAACAGGGGAAGAAAAGGGGAAAGAAAAAUAAAAGGGAAAACUAAGGAUUUAAAGCUUCAAGUUAAUUGGUAAGCUAAAUUUAGCCCUUUCCUCUUCAUUUUGAUAUUUUAAAAGCUUUAAAACAAAAUUUUGUUGAAGUUAAGUGGAGGUUAUGGAAGUUCAUAGGUUUUUGAACAUGAUUCACUUUUGAACAAGUUGUUAAAUUAGGGGUUUAGUUGAUAGAAUUUUUAGUUAGAAUAGAUAAAAAGAAUGAUUUGUGAACUAAGUUGUAAGUUUUACAUAAUUGGGAUUAAGUUAUAAAAAGCCUUAAAUUAGGGUUUAUGUUGAAUAAAUGAUUGAAUUGAGGGUUUAUUUGAUAGAGUUUCUAGUUAGAGUUGAUAAAAGGAUUAAAUUGUGAACUAAACUAUAAGUUUUGAAUUUUAGGGAUUAAAUUGAGGAAAAUUCGAAAUUAGUGAAAAAUGCUGAAAAAUUAGUAGAUAAAUUUGGAUUUAGAAGGAAUUUGAAUAGAAAUAGAGUGUGAAUUAAGUUAGAAAAAUAAGUAAGCUUAUUUAGAAUUAAAUUGGGAAUAAGUAAGAAUUGAAUAAAAAUUUUAUUAUUAUUAUUGUUAAUAUAAUUAUUAUUAUUUUAAUGAUUAUAAUUAAAAGUGAAAAUAAUUAUUAUUUUCGUAGCUAACAAGGAAAACGAGGCAUCGGCAUCUAAAGGAAAAGAAAAGAUCGUUGAGGAGUAAACGCGUAUUCCGGGUUUGUAUUACUAUAACUUAAUCUAUUUAAUAAAUGCUAUAUUGAAAUUGUAUUCAUGAGACAUUUAAAGGAAGGUAAGUAUUAACAUUUGAAAUUAAGUAAGAAUAUGUGUAUAUUGAAUUAUAUGUGAAUUGAAAUAAUAGAUGUUUUGUAUUGAUUGAAUAUUUGAAAUUGUUGUGGAAAUGAAUUCGAAAUAGGAAAAGUAAAAUAAUACCCUAUUAACUUAUCGGACUAGAUUGGAUACAAAUGGCAUGCCAUAGGAUUUGUAAUGUGAUGAGGAGAUUUGUAGUUCGGCCGAGAAGAUGACUAUGUUAUUAAAUGCUUCGGUUUAUCCGAAGAGGCAUUAAAUGCCUUAUUGGUGUGUUUGGGAGGUUAUGAUAUACUGGUGUGUUAUGGAGGAUUUAAAUUAUUUCGGGUGUGUUUAGGUUGGAUAUUUUGGUGUGUUUGGGUGGAAUCCGCGUAUCUGUCAGAGUCCGAGCCUUGUUAAUAGGGUAAAUAAUUGAAAUGGAAAUUUGAAAAUGAGAUUAGUUGAUUUGACACUAUUGAAAAAUAUGAGAAAGAAUGUAUGAUAUAAAUUAUGAAUUGAUUUAGUAUGUAAAUAUUUAAAUAUAUAAAUUUCAGAUUUAUGGAAUGAUAUAUGAAUAUUUAUAUUUAGUUUAAAGUGAUUUUUUUUAAAGACUAUGGUCAAUAUUUGAAAUUUUAUUAUUAUUAAAUAGUUUAAUUUAUAAUAAUACCACUGAGUAUAAAAUACUCAGCGUACGGUUGUUUCCGUGCGCAGGUUGAAAAGGGGUUAGUGUCUCGGUUCAGCAUCCAGGACAAUCCCGACUCCGACAUAAAGAUUUUGGUGAUGUUUUCUUCCUUUAAGAGAAAGUGGCAUGUACAUAGGAUUUAUAAUAGUUAUUUUGGCAUGUUAUAUAGUUUUGUUGUAAAGUAAGAUAUUAUGUGUUUUGAUGAUU